AUUAUUUUAAUAAAUCAAAAUAAUUAUAAAAAGAUUAAAAGCGUGUGGUUUUUUUUUCUUCUGUUGCAACGCACGGCCUUGUAGAUCCGUAGAAGCCCAAAGUUAACCAAACCUCCAAUUGUGUUGCGCUGUAUACCCAAGCCCAUGUUUUCCCUUUAGGCCACCAGCGUGAGUUGGCCUAGCCUACCAUCUCCAGUUGAGAUCGAUUCUGCGCCUGCCUCCGCUCUAGUCGAUCGCCAGACGCCUCCGCGGCGCCAUGAUAGCUAGUCCGGCCGUCUCAGGCUGCGUAGAUGCUGCCGCGGUGCCGAUCGAUGAACCAUGCCAUCGAGUACACGAGCCCGGCGGUCACUUAGUUUAUUCCUCCAGCAAUCGAGUCUGAAGGUAUAUAUAUAUACCGCACAGUUAUUUUUUUGACAGAUUGUAUAACCUAUAGUCCAGUUAAUUAACGGGCUGACUAAUGAUGCAAGACGAUUGAUUAAUAAUUUACAAAUUGGACGUGUCUUCUUCUUUUUCUUCGGUUUUACCAAAGCACAUCUAGAUGUGUCCUAACUAUUGCACAUGUAAGUUUUCUUUCAUUGAAAAGGUUAUCUUAUUGGUUUCUCUUGCAUUGUUGCAUGAGAUUAAUUUUUAACGUUUUCUUUUUUCAAAAUUCUAGUAUGGAAAUUUGAAUCAGCUAGCUUUAAUGUAAAUCAUGAACUCUUUUGUGAGUUCUCUUCCGGUCUCUCUUGCACUACAAUGUACUGCUUAUUUCUGCUAGCAUGCGUGCUAAAGCUCUAUCGCCAUGACAAUCUAUUCCGGUGCCUCUUGUGUGGUUAUGGUGGCGUCAUUGCUCAAUAUCAGUGGACACGACUCUUGUUGUUAGCUUUCUUUCUUCAGAUUAAGUAUUUUCAGCCUUGACCUCUCCACCUCGGUACACAUUCUUUAGCUAGAUAUCUAAAGGAUCUUUUUUACGUUGGCAUGUCCAUGGUUAUUUGUUACUCCAUCGAGUUCUUUUGUUUGUCUUCAACCACAAAAAGUUGUCUCCUUUAGCCAAUAAUUUUCUUAGAUUGUCACAACCCUUCCUUAUUUGACCAAUUGCAUUGAAUGCAUUACAUUUCUUUCUUCCCUAUGGCCCAUCCUAAUUAAAUCGAGCAUGGUCUAACUCCAAUCUCUUCUCUCUCAUGUGACUUGUUUUCCCCGAUGUUUUUCUUUUCCAACAAAGGGUGUUUUUUUUAUUAACUCAUAAUGUGACAUUGAUUGAUACAAUGAUGAUGAGAACACAUCCGACCUCUGCAUAACUAAGAUGCACACACCGGACACUAUCAUGCACACACAAAUCAGAUUGGCAAAAAGCAAAGUCAGGACAGAAUCUAUGCCAAGUACUAUGAGAAGGAUUCUUCAAAAGAAACACCCUCAUCAAGGAAACGAUGUAUAAGCGUCAUCGUCGUCGGAUCCAUCAUCAAAAGCUAGAUCAUGAGUUUUCACCCUGAAGAUCAAGUCCGAGCUAACUUCAAGAACAAUGUUCAACAGGGUAAUGACACAAAAGAACCUCCAUUGCCAGGACCUGGGCAGUUGCAUAUACGUAUGGUCAUGAUGUGAGAUGCCACGCAAGAGAUGAUCAUGCAUGCAUGAGCAUGCGGUCAAUCCGCGACAAGAGUCACCUUCCACCACACGACACAUACUCUGGUAUGGGCAGAAGGUCACAUGCACCGACCAAAUCCCAAGUUUGAGACGAUCGGGCAUGCCAUCACCAUCCUCACAAGUGGUAGUAGAUGACCGAUCUACAUGAGAUGACAUCAUCACAUGCCGCCACUACCAUCGUCGUCGCAUGUGACAGCAGAUUACACCAGGAUGGAGGACACGACCGCUGUCAUGCAUCGCGGACGGCGAUGUAGAUCCUAAAUCUUGCUGCAUCUGGAGGUCCAACCCUUUCGGUGACCAUUUUAUGGCCAAUGUCGCGUCGACGGAGGCAACAACGGUUAGUCAAGCAUGACAAACAGUGCCCAACAGCGCACAGGCUAGAUCGGGCGCGACGACUGCGACAUCUAUUGUGUGGCCACCGUCACACCCCCUUUGGUCCACGGGAAAUGGCCGCGACAUUUGUUGCAUCGCCACCACCUCAUCCCACCACGCCCUAACCCUGAAGAGGCGCCUUCGGAGCUGGGCUAACCCGUGUUAGAUGAACAGACUCUCCAAACCAGUAGCAUGGUGGUUGUGCCGGCUCCCAUUCCUCCGCCACUUAGGUUUGUGCGGCAGCACAAUGCCAUCAGGAAUAGGAAAGGUGUGUUGCAUCCCCUACCUAGCCACGAAUUGUUGUUACGUUGCAUCACGUCUGCCAUUACCGAGUCGUCAUCGCAAAGUACGUCAGCUGCGCGGGCAAGCCGUGCGGCCACUUGUGGAGGCUGUGAGGAGAGGAUGCUCAGGAAGAGGGCCGCCCGAGAAUGUGCAUCGGAUGGUCAUACAAGUUGCUCAGGUGGAGGGUGUGGGAGCAGUUUUGGUUUGUUGCAUGCCCUUUUGGCAUUUAUGUAUGGCCUUCUAUGGAGUCUGCGACCAUUAUUGUGGCUCAAAAAUUAUCAUCACUAU